rnacentral:rRNA from 1 species
UACGUAGGGAGCAAGCGUUGUUCGGAUUUACUGGGCGUAAAGGGCGCGUAGGCGGCAAUUCAAGUCAUCUGUGAAAUCUCCGGGCUUAACUCGGAACUGUCAGAUGAUACUGCUUUGCUAGAGUGCAGAAGGGGCAAUCGGGAAUUCUUGGUGUAGCGGUGAAAUUGCGUAGAUAUCAAGAGGAACACCUGAGGUGAAGACGGGUUGCUGGGCUGACACUGACGUGGAGGCGCGGAAAGCCAGGGGGAGCAAAACGG